UACAGAGGUCUCAAGCGUUGUUCGGAUUCAUUGGGCGUAAAGGGUGCGUAGGCGGCGCGGUAAGUCGGGUGUGAAAUCUCGGAGCUUAACUCCGAAACUGCAUUCGAUACUGCCGUGCUUGAGGACUGGAGAGGAGACUGGAAUUUACGGUGUAGCGGUGAAAUGCGUAGAUAAUCGUAAGGAAGACCAGUGGCGAAGGCGGGUCUCUGGACAGUUCCUGACGCUGAGCACGAAGGCCAGGGGAGCAAACGGG
rnacentral:rRNA from 1 species